ensembl:snoRNA
AGCCUUUGUGUUGUCCAUUCACUUUUGGAAACUACUCAAUGUGGUUUCAAAAAAGGUGGAAACUAAAUGCUUUGCAGCCUUUUCCUGUCCUUGAAUUGGGUACUGUUGGUGUAGGAGCUGCAUAAGUAACAGCU